UACGAACCGUCCUAACGUUGUUCGGAAUCACUGGGCUUAAAGGGCGCGUAGGCGGCUUGCCAAGUCAGGGGUGAAAUCCUGCAGCUUAACUGUAGAAGGGCCUUUGAUACUGGCGAGCUCGAGGGAGGUAGGGGUAUGUGGAACUUCCGGUGGAGCGGUGAAAUGCGUUGAUAUCGGAAGGAACGCCGGUGGCGAAAGCGACGUACUGGACCUCUUCUGACGCUGAGGCGCGAAAGCUAGGGGAGCAAACGGG
rnacentral:rRNA from 1 species